UUUCUCAUUUUGUCUAUUUAAUCCUACUAUAUUAUUUGGGAAGUACAUUUUAAAUGUAACCUUAAUUUUUGUAAUUAAUUACAUAGGUGUGCCAUUAAAAAUAAAAUU
rnacentral:sRNA from 1 species